CAAGGGCUGAACAUCUGCUAGGUUUCAGAGCGUCGCUGUUGGAACCAGUGAACCCGGCACACCCAAGGGGAGAGAGGAAAGGUGGAAGAAGUUAACUGUAGGUUGCCCACAAGCAUGUAGACCCCAGACCAGUUGGAACCAGAAGGUUGAUGAUGCCGACUCCCGAUUACCUCAUCACCAACCAAUCAGAAGAAUGUCCACGAGCUGACCACUCCCUGCUCCUUGAACACUGCACCAGUGAACAGAGGCCGAAUUUCAGCAACACAAUGAAUGGGUUGAAAGUUGACCUCUAAAUCUCCUUCCAGUUCUGACAUUCAACGGGUUUAAACCAGGCAAGACUCCAGCCUCCACGACCUUCCCUGGAUUCCUGAGGGCAGAUUCGAAAAGUUGCUAAUCAAGGGAGGAGCAGCCAAGAAACCACCUGAGGCAAGAUUAAAGGGACCAGAGAAACUCAUCAAGAUUAGCAGACCUGACCACCUGAGAUGAGAUUAAGGUCAUGCAAACCCUGCUCACGCCCUAAUCUUGUCAGAGACCCCACCUUUGAACCAUUGUCAUAAAACCCUCAUCACAUCCUCCCGGGUUGGGACACAUGGUUUUUUGAGGCAGAAGUCCAGUGUGUCUUCCUUUGCCUGGCAAAGCAAUAAAGCUAUCCUUCUCUACUUCACCCAAAACCCUGUCUGGGACUUCCCUGGCCAUCCAGUGGUUAAGACGCUGUGCUUCUAAUGCAGGGGGCGCAGCUUCCAUCCCUGGUUUGGGAACUAAGAUCCCACAUGCCAUGCAGCGCGGCCAAAAAAAAAAAAACAAACAGAAGAAAACUGUCUCCAAGAUUUGAUUUGGCACCGGUGUACAAAGAGGCAGAGCUUUCGGUAACAUCAGAGUCCUUUAAUAGAGGGUAAGUUGGACAGAUCCAUGUGAGACAAUGUUAUGCAGCCAUCGAAAAGGAUGUUAUAAAAGACAGAAUUAUAGAUGAAGUAAGAUCAGUGGUUGCCACGGCUUGGAGAAGGGGGAUGAGUAGGGGAAAUACGUAGCAUUAUUAGGCCCGUGUCUGUAUGAUACUGUAAUGGUGAAUACAUGACAUGGAUUUGUCAAAAUCCACAGAACUGUACAAAGAAUAAACCUUAAUGUAAACUAUGGACUUUAGCCAGUAACAGUGCUUCAAUACUGAUUAACUAAUUGUAACAGAUGUACCACGCUAAUGCUGUGUGUUAAUAUUGAUAGUAGGGGAUGGCUUCCCUGGUGGCACGGUGGUUAAGAAUCCGCCUGCCAAUGCAGGGGACAUGGGUUCGAGCCCUGGUCCAGGAAGAUCCUACAUGCCGCGGAGCAACUAAGCCCAUGUGCCACUACUGAGCCUGCGCUCUAGAGCCCUCAAGCCACAACUACUGAAGCCCGUGUGCCUAGAGCCCGUGCUCCGCAACGAGAAGCCCCUGCAAUAAGUCCGCGCGCUGCAAGGAAGAGUAGCCCCCGCUCACCACAACUAAAGAACGCCUGCACGCAGCAACAAAGACCCAACACAGCAGAAAAUUAAUUAAUUAAUUAAUUUAAAAAAAUUGAUAGUAGGGGAAAUAAUAGUGGGGCUGGGGGAAUAUGGGAAC